rnacentral:rRNA from 1 species
UACGAAGGGGCCUAGCGUUGUCCGGAAUUAUUGGGCGUAAAGAGCUCGUAGGUGGUUCGGCAAGUCGGAUGUGAAAUCUCCACGCUUAACGUGGAGGGGCCAUUCGAAACUGCUGUGACUUGAGUCCGGUAGGGGAGUGUGGAAUUCCCGGUGUAGCGGUGAAAUGCGCAGAUAUCGGGAGGAACACCAGUAGCGAAGGCGGCACUCUGGGCCGGUACUGACACUGAGGAGCGAAAGCGUGGGGAGCGAACAGG